UACCAACAUGGCAGUGAGUGGACUCUAGUACCUACACACACACACACACACUGCUUAGAGAUCCUGUCCUAAGGUAUAGCCCGGAGGUCUGGACAGUGGUGCGUGGAGACUACGGCUCUCAAGAGGACACACAGCAAGCAGCUCUACUCUGAUAGAAUCGAGGUGUUUCUUUCCUACAGGGCAGAUCCACAGCAGACCAGGACAGGAGAGAGUGGAGUCUGAAGAACACAUUAUGUGUCACAAUAAUUACAGACGCGGACGACAAAAGAGCAAUCUUAUCAGUAUGAAUUUCUAGAAUCAGUCCAGCCACAGCCCUGACCCCAGUGAACUACACUCGUGUGAUGACGAGUAACCUUGCCUUAGGUCAGGAUUCAAUCUGAUCACUCUUUGUCAUUCACGGUAAACAUGUCGUCUCAAUCGGAAAUUACUUUAAUAAACUUUAAACAUGAAUUAAUUAAUCUACUGCUGAUUUGGAUACCGGCCUGAAAACCGGAGGCUUUAGUUCAGCGGGCAAACCACAAGGCAGUUAACCCACUGUUCCCCCGGGCACCGAAAACGUGGAUGUCGAUUAAGGCAGCCCCCCCACACCUCUCUGAUUCAGAGGGGUUGGGUUAAAUGCAGAAGACACAUUUCAGUUGAAUGCAUUGUUGUAAAACUGACUCCCUUUUGUUUUACGGGUUGGCAAAAGCAUCAGAUUUCAGUUGGUCACAGCUGCAUUAUUGUGGUCCUCUGUAGAUUCAAUUGGAUAGUGGGAUUGAUUCCCUGGAUCACCUGUUUGUAAAAUGUGUACACACAUGACUGUAAGUCGCUUUGUAUAAAAGUGUCUGCUAAAUAACAAAGUAAGGGGUGAAAGGUUGCAAGGUCGAAUCCCCGAGUUGACAAGGUAAAAAUCUGUCAUUCUGCCCCUGAACAAGGCAGUUAACCAACUGUUCCAAGGCCAUCAUUAAAAAUAAGAAUUUGUUCUAAA
rnacentral:lncRNA from 1 species